rnacentral:rRNA from 1 species
UACGUAGGGGGCAAGCGUUGUCCGGAAUCAUUGGGCGUAAAGCGCGCGUAGGCGGCCCGGUAAGUCCGCUGUAAAAGUCCAGGGCUCAACCCUGGAAAGCCGGUGGAUACUGUCGGGCUAGAGUCCGGAAGAGGCGAGUGGAAUUCCCGGUGUAGCGGUGAAAUGCGUAGAGAUCGGGAGGAACACCAGUGGCGAAGGCGGCUACCUGGACCAGCACUGACACUGAGGCACGAAAGCGCGGGGAGCAAACAGG